rnacentral:rRNA from 1 species
UGAGGAAUUUUGCGCAAUGGGGGAAACCCUGACGCAGCGACGCCGCGUGGAGGAUGACGUCCUUCGGGAUGUAAACUCCUGUCAGUGGGAACGAUAAUGACGGUACCCACAGAGGAAGCACCGGCUAACUCCGUGCCAGCAGCCGCGGUAAGACGGAGGGUGCAAGCGUUGUUCGGAAUUACUGGGCGUAAAGCGUACGUAGGCGGUUGAUUAAGUCAAAUGUAAAAGCCCGGGGCUCAACCCCGUGGUCGCACUUGAUACUGGUCGACUAGAGGGCGAUAGAGGAAAGCGGAAUUCCGAGUGUAGCGGUGAAAUGCGUAGAUAUUCGGAGGAACAUCGGUAGCGAAAGCGGCUUUCUGGGUCGCUCCUGACGCUGAGGUACGAAAGCGUGGGUAGCAAA